GGACGAACGCUGGCGGCGCGCUUAACACAUGCAAGUCGAACGGGGCCCUUCGGGGUUCAGUGGCGAACGGGUGCGUAACACGUGAGCAACCUGCCCAUGCAUGGGGGAUAACCAAGGGAAACCUUGGCUAAUACCGCAUACGUUCCCCGGGUCGAUUGACCUGGGGAGGAAAGCUGCUGAAAGGCAGCGUGCGUGGAGGGGCUCGCGGCGUAUCAGGUAGCUGGUGAGGUAACGCUCACCAGGCCGACGACGCGUAGCCGAUCUGAGAGGAUGAUCGGCCACAUUGGGACUGAGAUACCGGCCCAGACUCCGUACGGGAGGCAGCAGGUGGGGAGUCUUGCGCAAGUGGGACGAAAGCCUGACGCAGCGACGCCGCGUGCGGGAGGAAGCUCGUUC
rnacentral:rRNA from 1 species